AACACUACUGGCAAAACGGAUCCACAAAAUCAGAAAGGUUUAACGUUAUACUGUAAAGGCCUAAUAACUUUAGAGGACGCAGCGAUAGCUGUAACGCCUGUUUUGCUUUACAUGCAACAGGUGCACUGAAUCAUCAUGUUUCCAUUGGUCUUGCGUAGCUGUAGCGUUAGUUGAAUAACUAAUCAAAAGAAUGAAGUUUAAAAAAAACAUUUGUUUGAGUAAGUACGGUUAACUAGCAAGGUUCUUAAAACACAGCUUUGCCUUUGUCGGGUGAUAAUAUCCCAAUAAAACAACUUGUAACGAUAAAUGCUAUACCAGAGCUUCUCGAAAUAUUCAGCUAACGUUAAAUAGCUAGCCAACGUCAGUGAGUCAGCUAGCUACUGUCAGUAGUACCAUACUGUGCUAUCUUGUUGUUAGCUAGUUAAUAAUGUAAGCUGUUGCGAUACAUAAACUUAUUGGCUAGCAUAGCAUUAGCAUGUUGUUGUUGUUUUUUUGCUUAUUACAAGACUAAACGAGUUCAUCACUUGAAUAGUAAGACUCUCUUGUCGCUUUAAGUUCAAAGUUAUCAGUUCAACUACUUUUAAAGCCGAAAACAAGUCUUACCGGUACGAAAUCACACGAGUUGGAUCUUGGACGACACAGUCGUCGGAUGUGUUGCUUUAAAAACCUUUUGAUGUCACGUGAUGGGAGUGUGGGCGUGUUGACAACGUUCAACAUGGCGUCUCACGGUAGUUGGCUGUUCUGUUUACGGACUCUAUCGUUGAGCAUCUUCUUUGACUGCACGUAUUGCCAUUUUCACCGUGUUCUCGGAAAUGAUGUUGGUAGCUGUAAAAGUCUACGCUUGGGACAGUAUCUUUGCAAAGAACCACGGAUAGAUGAUGCCACUCAAGAACCUGCGAACUGCAAGGACAUGAUAGCUUGGGUGGAAUGCCUACCUGCUCCGAAUGUCAGCUGCCGCCUGUCCAACGGGACAGAGUUUCGGUUCAGCGGAGAGGAAGUGGGCUUCAACCAGAGCAUCCCCUGCAGGAAUGUGAGCGGUUACUCCUACAAAAUAGCAGUGGCCUUGUCCCUCUUCCUGGGGUGGUUAGGUGCUGAUCGCUUCUACCUGGGAUACCCAGCUUUAGGGCUGCUCAAGUUCUGCACUGUGGGCUUCUGUGGGAUUGGGAGCUUGGUGGAUUUCAUGUUGAUCUCAAUGCAGAUAGUGGGUCCAUCGGAUAAGUCUGACUACAUAGUGGACUACUACGGUGCCAGACUCACACGUCUCUCCAUCACCAACGACACCUAUAGAAGAACCCAGAUCUCACCCUGAGGGUGGGUACACGAGUAUAGCAUGUUAGACACACCGCACCGGGGUACACGGGGCGAAAGUGAAAAACAACAACAUGCUGUCUGAAUGCUGUCGUUUUAAAUUAUGCCCCUCUUUUGGCAUCCUAUUUUUCACCCGACCAGCACAUACAAACUAUUCCGAGUCCACUUCUCCUGUCUGCAUGUACCCCCAAUGUCAGGAGUAGAGCCUGUGAAGCGAGACUUAGUCUCUCCUUGCUUCUUUGUCCUUCAUUCCUUGUCUUCUCCUCAAAAUGCAUUUGAACAAUUGGAUACCACGAAAUUGGGGAGAAAAAGGGUUAAAUAAAACAUGUAAAAAUGCAUUUGAACAUCAAAUCUGAGGAGAUGAGGAUACAAGGAAACAAGGAAAGACUUGAGAUUCACCCGUGGACACGAGCUCAGGUCCCGGGGGGGUUACAGUACAAGCUUUUGUUCCAACACAACAUUAGCCACACCGUGUAGCUCUCCAGUACCAGUGGUUUGAUGACCACCACCAUAGCGCUUCAAGUCAUCGUUAUACUCCUAUGAGAAUCUAGAAUCUGCACUGAGAAUGGUGUACUGUAAACAUAAUGUCAUCUGUGGUUUUUGAGUAUGUCUGGCAGCAAGGGAACUAAUUGUACUGUAUGACUGUCUUUCUGCUCUCAUUUUGUCAUUUGAGAUUUUUGUAAAUAAAGUGAUCAUUUAAUGAA